UUAGCUCAUUAGCAGACUUCUUUCUUCAAAAUAUUUUAUCUGACUAUAAUGCAAAUAUAAUAUCUCUAAACUAUAAUGCAGUUGGUACCUUGUCAAAUAAGGUUUCAAAUUUUUUAUUUCAUAUUCCUAAGACCUAAGGGCUCUUUUUCUUUGUGGCUCGAGAUUUCAAGCUUUCCUGCUCAUCUAUGGUGUGCUCUAUAGCUGAUUUUUGUCUCGUAAAUAUUUCUCAUAUUUAAAAAGCUUCAAGUGAAGGUUGAACCACCUUUUCAUUUUGUGUUGUUGGCAGUUAUUUUAUUUUACAAAACAUUUAUAUUGCAGGUCUUCAAGUUCUGUUUGUUUGGUACUACGGUAUUUGAACUUAGGCAAGGAGCUGCUGUAUCUUUUUUAUUUGAGGCCAACAAACUGCGUUACGCGAAGUCUCCUGUAAAGCUGUGAAGGCAACUAUUCAAUACGCUCACCAUUGUUUGGAACUAGUGUACAUAGCCUGAACUUAUUGGCCUUAUGAUUUACUCCUCAUGUUUCAUUAUCUCACCUGAUGACAAGCUCAAAAUUGCAAAUGGUUCAUCGCAAUUCCGGAAAUCAUUCUGAUGACAGCAUUUUGGAUUUGAACAGUCCCAACUCUCCUUCUCACAGCUCAAGUCUCUCUGGCUCUUCAAAUUCAUUGGCUAACACAUCCGCUCCUGCCUUCAAUCACGAUGACAUUUCUGUUAUCGGUCCUGCUUCAUCCUCGGCUCGCGAAAGAUCAAACCUCCGAGGACGACGUUUGAGUUCAGUUUCUGCCAAAAGAGGUUCGAGAAGCGUUGGCCGGAAAAGAGUCGAUUCUUUGGAAGGCCCUAUCCUUUAGCAUUGGCAUAUUUAUCGUCUGCACGUUAAGACGCCGUCUCAAAAACCUUGUUGACACAAACUUCACGUCAAUUCAUGAAUAGUUAGAUAUUCAUACUAUUUAUUUUUUAUUACA